UGAGACUUUGGCACAGUAGGGAAUUUCUGCUGCAAGGAUUCCACCACUUUGUUGAUAUUAUGUGGGCAAGACUGAAUAGCAGAAACAAUUAUAGGCAUAUCUGAUCCUUUUAUGGUUAUUGCAGUUGAGGUAUGUGUUCUAGUGGCCUUGCCACUUGAACCACACACAUCUUGAUCUUCAGAUUGUAUGUUUGCCAUUGAUA
rnacentral:misc_RNA from 1 species